CCUACGGGAGGCAGCAGUGGGGAAUUUUGCGCAAUGCUCGUAAGAGUGACGCAGCGACGCCGCGUGAAUGACGAAGGCCUUCGGGUCGUAAAGUUCUUUCGACAGGGAAGAAAAUGCCUAUAAGUAACUGUGUAUGUAUUGACGGUACCUGUAUAAGCAGCCCCGGCUAACUCCGUGCCAGCAGCCGCGGUAAUACGGAGGGGGCGAGCGUUGUUCGGAGGGACUGGGCGUAAAGAGCACGUAGGCGGUGUUGUAAGUCAUUAGUCAAAGACUAGAGCUCAACUUUAGUAAGGCUAGUGAUACUAUAAUACUAGAGUAUCAGAGAGGAUUGCAGAAUUCCUGGUGUAGCGGUGAAAUGCGUAGAUAUCAGGAGGAAUACCGUUAGCGAAGGCGGCAAUCUGGCUGGAAACUGACGCUGAGGUGCGAAAGCGUGGGUAGCAAACAGGAUUAGAGACCCUUGUAGUC
rnacentral:rRNA from 1 species